rnacentral:rRNA from 1 species
UGUCCUUUUGAUUAUAAUUUAAGGUCUAAUCUGCCCACUGAGUUUUUAAAUGGCCGCGGUAUUUUGACCGUGCAAAGGUAGCAUAAUAAUUAGUUUCUUAAUUAGAAGCUGGAAUGAAAGAUUGAAUGAGAAAAUAACUGUCUCAAUUUUAUUUAUUUAGAAAUUUAUUUUUAAGUUAAAAAGCUUAAAUAUUUUUAAAAGACGARAAGACCCUAUAGAGUUUUAUAUAAUUUUUAUGUUAAUUAUUUAUUUAUUUUAUUAUAAUAAAUUUAAAUUUAUAUUUUGUUGGGGUGAUAGAAAAAUUAAUUAAACUUUUUUUAUAUUAAUACAUUUAUUUAUGAAUAUUUGAUCCUUAUUUUUGAUUAUAAGAUUAAAUUACCUUAGGGAUAACAGCGUAAUUUUUUUUGAGAGUUCUUAUCGAAAAAAAAGAUUGCGACCUCGAUGUUGGAUUAAAAUUAAAUUUUGGUGUAGAAGCUAAAAGUUUAGGUCUGUUCGACCUUUAAAAUUUU